rnacentral:rRNA from 1 species
GGAGUUAGCCGGUGCUUCUUCUGCGAGUAACGUCACAGAUGUAAGGUAUUAACUUACACCCUUUCCUCCUCGCUGAAAGUGCUUUACAACCCGAAGGCCUUCUUCACACACGCGGCAUGGCUGCAUCAGGGUUUCCCCCAUUGUGCAAUAUUCCCCACUGCUGCCUCCCGUAGGAGUCUGGGCCGUGUCUCAGUCCCAGUGUGGCUGAUCAUCCUCUCAGACCAGCUAGGGAUCGUCGCCUAGGUGAGCCUUUACCUCACCUACUAGCUAAUCCCACCUGGGCUUAUCCAUCAGCGCAAGGCCCGAAGGUCCCCUGCUUUCCCCCGUAGGGCGUAUGCGGUAUUAGCAGUCGUUUCCAACUGUUAUCCCCCACAAAUGGGCAAAUUCCCAGGCAUUACUCACCCGGUCCGCCGCUCGUCAUCUUCAAAAGCAAGCUUUUGAAAUGUUACCGCUCGACUUGCAUGUGUUAGGCCUGCCGCCAGCGUUCAAUCUGAGCCAGAAUCAAACUCUGA